rnacentral:rRNA from 1 species
AAGGGAGCUUGCCUUGGAUUCAGCGGCGGACGGGUGAGUAAUGCCUAGGAAUCUGCCUGGUAGUGGGGGAUAACGUCCGGAAACGGCCGCUAAUACCGCAUACGUCCUGAGGGAGAAAGUCGGGGAUCUUCGGACCUCACGCUAUCAGAUGAGCCUAGGUCGGAUUAGCUAGUUGGUGGGGUAAAGGCCUACCAAGGCGACGAUCCGUAACUGGUCUGAGAGGAUGAUCAGUCACACUGGAACUGAGACACGGUCCAGACUCCUACGGGAGGCAGCAGUGGGGAAUAUUGGACAAUGGGCGCAAGCCUGAUCCAGCCAUGCCGCGUGUGUGAAGAAGGUCUUCGGAUUGUAAAGCACUUUAAGUUGGGAGGAAGGGCAGUAAGUUAAUACCUUGCUGUUUGACGUUACCAACAGAAUAAGCACC